GAAAUGCGAUAAGUAGUGUGAAUUGCAGAAUUCAGUGAAUCAUCGAAUCUUUGAACGCACAUUGCGCCCUUUGGUAUUCCUUAGGGCAUGCCUGUUCGAGCGUCAUCUAAACCUUCAAGCCCUGCUUGGUGUUGGGUGCCUGUCCCGCCUCCGCGCGCGGACUCACCUCAAAUCCAUUGGCGGCCCCCGCGUCGGCCACGAGCGCAGCAGAAACGCGAACUCGUGAGCCCGUCCGGGCGGCUCCCAGAAGCUACACCCACCCAGUUUGACCUCGGAUCAGGUAGGGAUACCCGCUGAUCUUAAGC
rnacentral:misc_RNA from 1 species